GACGAACGCUGGCGGCGUGCUUAACACAUGCAAGUCGAACGGAAAGGCCCUUCUUUUGUGGUGUUCUCGUGUGGCGCACGGGUGUGUAACACGUGAGUAACCUGCCCUUCACUUUGGUAUAACUUCGGGACACUGGGGCUAAUACCGGAUAGAAGCUCCUGCUGCAUGGUGGGUGUUGGAAAGUUUCGGGGGUUGGGGAUGGACUCGCGGCUUCUCAGCUUGUUGGUGGGGUAGUGGUUUACCAAGGCUUUGACGGGUACCCGGCCUGGGGGGGUGACCGGCAACAUGGGGACGGGGAUACGGCCAAGCUUCUAAGGGGAGGAAGAAGUGGGGAUUAUGGCAAAAGGGGCGGAGGCCGGAGGCAGCACGGCGGGGGGGGGGAGGAGGGCCUUCGGUUGGAAACCCGUUUCGGCCAGUGAGGAAGCGUGAGUGACGGUAAUGGGUAAAGAAGCACCGGCUAACUACGUG
rnacentral:rRNA from 1 species